GUGAGAUCUAUGAACAGGUGAGAUCUGUGAACAGGUGAGAUCUAUGAACAGGUGAGAUCUAUGAACAGGUGAGAUCUAUGAACAGGUGAGAUCUAUGAACAGGUGAGAUCUAUGAACAGGUGAGAUCUGUGAACAGGUGAGAUCUGUGAACAGGUGAGAUCUAUGAACAGGUGAGAUCUAUGAACAGGUGAGAUCUGUGAACAGGUGAGAUCUAUGAACAGGUGAGAUCUAUGAACAGGUGAGAUCUGUGAACAGGUGAGAUCUGUGAACAGGUGAGAUCUGUGAACAGGUGAGAUCUGUGAACAGGUGAGAUCUGUGAACAGGUGAGAUCUGUGAACAGGUGAGAUCUAUGAACA